GGGGAAUAUUGCACAAUGGGGGAAACCCUGAUGCAGCGACGCCGCGUGGAGGAAGAAGGUCUUCGGAUUGUAAACUCCUGUUGUUGAGGAAGAUAAUGACGGUACUCAACAAGGAAGUGACGGCUAACUACGUGCCAGCAGCCGCGGUAAAACGUAGGUCACAAGCGUUGUCCGGAAUUACUGGGUGUAAAGGGAGCGCAGGCGGGCGAUCAAGUUGGAAGUGAAAUCCAUGGGCUCAACCCAUGAACUGCUUUCAAAACUGAUUGUCUUGAGUAGUGCAGAGGUAGGCGGAAUUCCCGGUGUAGCGGUGGAACGCGUAGAUAUCGGGAGGAACACCAGUGGCGAAGGCGGCCUACUGGGCACCAACUGACGCUGAGGCUCGAAAGCGUGGGUAGCAAAC
rnacentral:rRNA from 1 species